rnacentral:rRNA from 1 species
GACUCUCGACAAUGGAUAUCUCGGCUCUCGCAUCGAUGAAGAACGUAGCAAAAUGCGAUACUUGGUGUGAAUUGCAGAAUCCCGUGAACCAUCGAGUCUUUGAACGCAAGUUGCGCCCCAACCCUUCUAGCCGAGGCACGUCUACCUGGGUGUCA